AGAGUUUGAUCAUGGCUCAGGAUGAACGCUGGCGGUAUGCUUAACACAUGCAAGUCGAACGGAAUCUUCGGAUUUAGUGGCGGACGGGUGAGUAACGCGUGAGAAUCUACUCUUAGAUUGGGGACAACAGUUGGAAACGACUGCUAAUACCGAAUGUGCCGAAAGGUAAAAGAUUUAUCGUCUGAGAAUGAGCUCGCGUUGGAUUAGCUAGUUGGAGUGGUAAUGGCACACCAAGGCGACGAUCCAUAACUGGUCUGAGAGGAUGACCAGUCACACUGGGACUGAGACACGGCCAGACUCCUACGGGAGGCAGCAGUGGGGAAUUUUCCGCAAUGGGCGAAAGCCUGACGGAGCAAUACCGCGUGAGGGAGGAAGGCUCUUGGGUCGUAAACCUCUUUUAUUAGGGAAGAAGAUCUGACGGUACCUAAGAUCAGGUUCCCUUCCCCA
rnacentral:rRNA from 1 species